UCCGACCUCUCUCGCAGCACACACAUUCAACCUAAACCUAAAUCGCCGCCGCCGCCCCCAACCUGCCCGCAGAUUUGCUUGCUUCGCCGCCUCUCCCACUCCGGCAUCCUAUCCCUUGGCCCGUCGUUUAGUCCUGCGUGCUGCCCUAUUAUACACUGCCGAGGAGUUGCUGCCCCAUCUGCAGCCGACGAGCCGCCGCCGCAUCUACAGACGAGGAGCCGCCGCCUAGGCGCAUAGUCCGCUGGCAGGCAACCGAGUUCUGGAGUCGCCCCGCCGUUCGUCUUCCUCCACCAGCGACCCCUGUCCAGAUCGACACCCCUUGUCCUGCCCGACUCCAGUCUCCAGGCCAUUGUAGGAGAAAAGAUGGAAGCAACAAGAGUUGGAAGUGAGCUCCCUGCGUAUGAACAAUUGAGGCUAGCAAGUAUUGCAGAAAACAAAAAUAAGUUGAGAGCUCCUGUUGGAAUAUAAAGAAAAUAUUUAGCAUUGGGAGAAAACAUGAGGCCCUCUGGGGAAGUAGGCGGCUUGUCUCAUCCAGCCAAGAAGAAAGUUAUUCAGAUUUCUCAUUGCUCCAUGUAGCUGGCAUCAAGAGUUACGCUCGUAGCAGGCAUGAAUUGAAACAACCUGAAGAAGCAGCUGAACUCCACCCAGAAUUGAAGGAAAAACCUACACAAGGAGAUUUUUCAUGCUCGUGCUUUUGUAGAGAAGGAACCAAGAGGAGGUGUGCGAAAGUUUGUACUCUACUAUAGAAGGAACCAAGCGAAGGAACACAAGAUGAUCAAGUUUGUACUCUACUAGAGCGCACGGAACAAAUGCAAUGAAAAAUUGGAGAGACGCAUCAAGUUCUUUUUUGUCUAGGAAUCCGAAAUGUGGAAACACCAUUGCCUAAUAGUUUAGUAUCUCGGCCCGUGGUUUCACGGAUUGUAUAGCACAAGAUGGCAAAUGGAUCUUCUAAUUCAGACAACUUUUGUUAAGUUAUAUCAGGUAUUAUUCUUGUGAACUUUUUUCCAUGAGAUGACACAGGUUCAUGAUGGGCACGAUAAAGUGAUGCUAAAUCUGGGUUAUAGCAGAACAUAGAAUGUUUGGUUUCUAUAUUUACAUGUGUGUAGUGCAACCCCCAUUAUCAUGCAAAUAGUAUCAAGUUCAGAGACUUAAUCAUGAAAGCUAGCAGAAAUGCGUGAUUUAGUACACAAGCUAAACUAAAUGUUUUCUUGCAUAUUUGUUCAAAUAAGGUGAGUGGUACAAAUGUCCGUAAGUGUGCAAUUCCUAGUAGCUAAACUGAAGCUUGCUUUCUUUUAAAGAUCAGCCACAAAAAAACUACUUCCAUUAUUUUUUAGGGAAGAAUAUUUAGUUCAGCCCACAUAUUAGGUUUACAUCUGACUCUUUUUUUAGAGAAACAUAGUUUUGGUAGCUUUUUCAGCAUCUGUUCAGUCUGAGGAUUUUGACCAUAUCAGAGAACAAUAUAUGCGAACCUCUAUUGUAUACCACACAAUGUUUCAUAGCAUGCAUGAACCAGAACACAAGCAAUAUCCUGUAAAUUGACUUGUUUUCACCAAGUGCACUAAUACAUAUAUGACUGCUGGUACAUGUAUAUGUAAUAGUACUUAUGUGAUUUUUUGCCGAUUCAGUAACUUCGAAAUCUCUGAAAUUACACUAAGGACCUUACUCAUCUUGUCUUAGAACAUACCUGAUUGCUCAUCAACAAGUUCAGACAUUUUUAUAGUAAGCCAUUUGUAAUAUACUAGGUGCUAUGCUGACUUUGGUUUACAUUCUAAUAAGGUUAUCUUUUGUAACUUGAAUCUUUGCAUAGUUAUAAUAUUCUUGAGAUAAUUGGCUUUAUUUUUCAGAUCCUUUAUUUAGUAGAUAAAAGGCCUCCUUAUUUGUUUUAUGUUUCAAAUGUAAUAGUAAAUAAAAAGACAUGCAUAAUUUUUAUUGGAGAGGUCAUGCAGUCAAGUAUUUGUUUACUUUUCUUGUAAGCAAGCUUGUAUGUUGUACAUCUUUUGUUUCUUGGAUCUUUGGACUCACUCACAAAGUUGAACAAAUUGUAUUAUUUCUAAGAUUACUGAAUUAUUUUGUAGGGACAAAUGAUAGAAAGUAGCAAGCCUGCUAGUUGAUUGAACAUGUCCUCGUGAUUGGUUUUGUUGAAAACAUGGAUGACACAUUUUGUUCAUAUGGAAGUUGACUUGGCUUGGCGAUUGAAGAGCUGAUCUUCAUAAUAUUCUGUAGUCAGUUCAGUGAUCAAGCACUUGGUCUCUUAGGAAUUUUAGCCAUUAUAUUUGUAACAUGCCUAUGUUGUAUAUCUGACUUGUGUAUAUCCUUCAUGGUUGUAGCCAUCUUUAGUGAAGAAAACUAAUGAAUCUUGUAUGUAUAUAUUGAAUGGAUGCAUUAAUCAAUGAUACCUUGU